CCUCCUUGUCCUCCCUGUUUAAAAAUUAGAUUAAGCCCUUCUAAGCAGGAUAGACCAAAUCCGCUUCGAGAGUUGGGAAAACGCGGCCAGAGAAACUAACCUGUAAACCUAAGAGGAAAUACAGACGCUGCGGGGCGUUGGUUAAACCUGGAGACAAAGAGCCCGGGCCUCGGGCCAACGUCAACGCCGAGUGGGAAACAAGAGGCUUAGCAACCUGCCGGCGAGGGGAUGCAGAACUCUGAGCGCCCUCCGCCCGGGGCACAAAGCCAAGGAAGCAGUCCCCCGCCUGGUGCCCGCCUGGUGCCCGCCUGGUGCCCGCCUAGAACUCACCGGGAACCCACCUGAACCCACCUGGAGCCCGCGUGGAAGCCCGGAAGUCCUGGAAGCCCGGACUCACCCGCGACCGCUGGUGGCACCGCCGCUCCGGGGUCCCGGGGGUCGGCCGCAGCGUGCCCGCGGAGCUCCCGAGGGAUCGUGCGCGUCGCCGCCGCGGCCCACGGAAGCGGGGCCGUGCGCUCCCGCCCGCGGGUAGUCGUGGCCGAGCGGUUAAGGCGACGGGCUAGAAAUCCGUUGGGGUGUCCCCGCGCAGGCAACCGGAUCGGAUGCAAAAGAAGCGAGCUGCACGCGUCACGACGAGCAGUACAGAAGGACAACGGUAACCCGACAGCGGGGACGAUGGGGACAGGCAGCAUCCUGUGCCGCCCAGAGACCUGCUUCGGUGGACUCGACCUCAUCUGCGUGGUGCUCGGCUAAAAGCGCACAACCUGAAUUUAACUUUCGGGAAAGCAUCAAACUCAGGGUGAGGGGGCGUUCUACAAAAUACCUGCCCAAGUUAGGCUUUGAAGGUCAAUGAGAUGAAACACAAAGAUGGGGGCGCUCUUCCAGACGAAAGGACUAAGGAGGCAGGACAAAUGAAUGUCAUCUGUUUUUCUUGAAAUAGAGGAUUCGCACAGUUGGCAAAACAGUAACAAGGUUUCUAGAUCAAAUAAGAGUGUUAAUCCAGAUUUCAUAACUGUUCUGUGCUUAGGAAAGAGAACGUCCCUGGUUUUAGGAAAUACACACUGAAGUAUUUAGUGGUAAAGGGACAUCUUGUCUGAAACACACUAGAAAAAAAUUAUAUAUGUGUAAACUUAUUUCUAUAUAUCUAGCUAUUAAAAAACACAUAUCAUAAAUCAACAGCGAAUAUAGGUGAAGGAUUUAUGAAAAUUCUUUG
rnacentral:lncRNA from 1 species